GUAAUAUGGACGUAACCAUGCUCCCAAGAAAAUCCGCUAAACUUAUCCAUGCGGCACCCGUACCGUAAACGGACACACGUGGUCGGGUUGAGAAUACUGAGGCGCUCGAGUGACUCACGGUUAAGGAACUAGGCAAAUUGACCCUGUAACUUCGGGAUAAAGGGUCCUCGUCGUAAGGCGAGGCGCAGAGAAUAGGUCCAGGCAACUGUUUAACAAAAACACAUGGCUGUGCUAAAUGGAAACAUGAUGUAUACAGCCUGACACCUGCCCGGUGCUGGAAGGUUAAGAGGAGAUGUCAUCGCAAGAGAAGCGUUGAAUUGAAGCCCCAGUAAACGGCGGCCGUAACUAUAACGGUCCUAAGGUAGCGAAAUUCCUUGUCGGGUAAGUUCCGACCUGCACGAAUGGUGUAAUGAUCUGGACACUGUCUCAACCGUGAGCUCGGUGAAAUUGUAGUAUCGGUGAAGAUGCCGAUUACCCGCGAUGGGACGAAAAGACCCCGUGAACCUUUACUAUAGCUUUACAUUGAAUUUGGGCAGACGAUGUGUAGGAUAGGCCGGAG
rnacentral:rRNA from 1 species